AUACUCCUGACUGACCGAUAGUGAACCAGUACCGUGAGGGAAAGGCGAAAAGAACCCCGGCGAGGGGAGUGAAAAAGAACCUGAAACCGUGUACGUACAAGCAGUGGGAGCACGCUUAGACGUGUGACUGCGUACCUUUUGUAUAAUGGGUCAGCGACUUAUAUUCUGUAGCAAGGUUAACCGAAUAGGGGAGCCGAAGGGAAACCGAGUCUUAACUGGGCGUUAAGUUGCAGGGUAUAGACCCGAAACCCGGUGAUCUAGCCAUGGGCAGGUUGAAGGUUGGGUAACACUAACUGGAGGACCGAACCGACUAAUGUUGAAAAAUUAGCGGAUGACUUGUGGCUGGGGGUGAAAGGCCAAUCAAACCGGGAGAUAGCUGGUUCUCCCCGAAAGCUAUUUAGGUAGCGCCUCGUGAAUUCAUCUCCGGGGGUAGAGCACUGUUUCGGCAAGGGGGUCAUCCCGACUUACCAACCCGAUGCAAACUGCGAAUACCGGAGAAUGUUAUCACGGGAGACACACGGCGGGUGCUAACGUCCGUCGUGAAGAGGGAAACAACCCAGACCGCCAGCUAAGGUCCCAAAGUCAUGGUUAAGUGGGAAACGAUGUGGGAAGGCCCAGACAGCCAGGAUGUUGGCUUAGAAGCAGCCAUCAUUUAAAGAAAGCGUAAUAGCUCACUGGUCGAGUCGGCCUGCGCGGAAGAUGUAACGGGGCUAAACCAUG
rnacentral:rRNA from 1 species